GACGAACGCUAGCGGCGUGCUUAACACAUGCAAGUCGAACGGUAAGGCCCUUCGGGGUACACGAGUGGCGAACGGGUGAGUAACACGUGGGUGAUCUGCCCUGCACUUCGGGAUAAGCCUGGGAAACUGGGUCUAAUACCGGAUAGGACCACUGCCUGCAUGGGUGGUGGUGGGAAGCUUUUGCGGUGUGGGAUGGGCCCGCGGCCUAUCAGCUUGUUGGUGGGGUGAUGGCCUACCAAGGCGACGACGGGUAGCCGGCCUGAGAGGGUGACCGGCCACACUGGGACUGAGAUACGGCCCAGACUCCUACGGGAGGCAGCAGUGGGGAAUAUUGCACAAUGGGCGCAAGCCUGAUGCGGCGACGCCGCGUGAGGGAUGACGGCCUUCGGGUUGUAAACCUCUUUCAGCACCGACGAAGCGCAAGUGACGGUAGGUGCAGAAGAAGGACCGGCCAACUACGUGCCAGCCGCCGCCGCGG
rnacentral:rRNA from 1 species